GGUCCCUGUUCCACUAUUCGUUUAAUUAUUUUGGGAAUUAUGAGUCUUCUUAUCUAUGGAACAGCCGCAGCAUCUCUGCUGUAUAUACGUCACAAGAAGACAGUUAAUAAGCAGCUGGAUGAUGUGACUGUAUAUGCAUGCCCAAAUGAGGUGAAAAAUCGGCAUUCAUAGUUGGGAAUGGAUGUCUAGCCUGAUAAGUGCUCCAAUGAAUGACUCCACUGACCGAGAGGAGUUUGACAAACAUGUACAACUGAACCCUCCUGUGGUCCGUGCAUACAUCGAUUCUUUUAGUAUUUGACAUUGAAUGUAUAAAAAUAUAAAACUGCUUGCCUGAAUGGUGCUCAAUGUAUGUUGCUGCUUUUUCUUUUAAAGAAGGAACCAUAAUGGGAAUUUAUUUAUUUUAUUUUUUAUUUUUUUGCUUAGAUAAGGAUAAAUGAAGGAAGUUAUUGAGUCAUCAUCCUGCACUAUUGUUACUCUGAUUGUUAGCAUGAAAAUGAAUCCUUGUUGUCUGCAAGAUAUCUGGUAGCUGUGACCAUAUUCUGGUUUUCCAAAAAGAGGAGUGUGUGCGUGUGCGUGUGUGUGUGUGUGUGUGUAUGGGGGGUAAAGGGCUCAAAAGAUUGACAGGCAGGAAUUUGGCCAAUAGUUGCUGCAAGCCUCUUAUAAUUGACUAAUUGGUGCGCGAGAAGGCGGGACUUGCAAAGAGGGGUUAAAGCAAUGCAAACAUGUGCACACUCAAAAUAAAGUAUUAGACCAGAUACACAUCAUAAUGCAAGUACAGCUGAAUCCCGGACAUUUUUGCAAAUUUAGAAAUCCUGGCCGGACGCAUUUUUAAGGUCCGAAAAAGAGGACAUGUCCAGAAAAAAAUAAAAAAGAGGACAUGUCCGGGAAAAAGAGGACGUAUGGUCACCCUAUAUCUGGUAAUGUGUUCUUAUUUAAAGAGAAAGCCACAGAUAGUGAGACUUUGUGCAGUAUCAUACACAGGACAUCUGCUUUUCUAUGAAUUUAUUCUCUUACU